rnacentral:tRNA from 1 species
CAAAUUAAAUCUUAAAUUUAAGUAUUUUAUUUACAAUAAAAAGAUUAUUGUGUGAUUCAAUAUAAUUUGA